rnacentral:lncRNA from 1 species
UAUACCCUGAGCCUACUGAGCUCAGUGACUAUAGUGAUAUACCCCCUACACAUGUUUGGACACUUAAAGGAGGUGCUCCAAGUCUUCCUCCUGGUGUACGUGUGCUCUGUAUAGACACUGGUCUUCCACAGCCCUCUGUGUGGAAUCCCUGCAGUGCAGAGCUUCAGACAGAAGCGUGCUGUCCCAGCGCUGACUGUGAUGAGUGAGGCAGAGACGUACCCAAGGGAGGCAUGGGGCAGGAAAUUCAUGCUUGAAAUCUCUGUAGGCUAAAAAAGCGUACUCGGCCUGGUUAGAAAUCUGAGUUCCCAGUGCAGGCUGAAGAAAGCAAUGCCUUCACGACACAGCAGAAAGCCGUCCUGCCCCGAGGCUCUUCCUGAUGGAGCAGCAUCCCUACCCAUCGCCUGGUGCUCUGCGAGGGCUUCCAAUCGGAUCUGGCGGCUUUGUUCUGCUCGAUAGCGCCGUAAUGGGUCGUUUCUCCGACCUGCGCCGCGUGGGUAACAGAGGGGUCACGGAGGCUCCCACGUUAAGUCACCGGGGGUAGGAAUGAGACUCUAGAAGGCAGCUACACUGUUGCCAUUGAAGCCUGCUAGCCAGAGCUUCGCCAGCAGAGCUCAUUCGCUGGACUUCUUCCCCAGAGCACGUUUUUAUUCUCUUGUCGGCUUUUUGCUGCGUGUCUCUGUCUUUUUACGAGCAGCGCUGCAGGCUGUGCCCGUGACACUGCCUUCCAGCACCGCUCCUUCCGUCCGCACGGCUGCUCCGCGCACAUCUGCCUGCACUGAGCGUCGGGGGACGGAUUCCUUUCAGCUCCGUCCCUCCGAGAAACAACAUUUUGCCUUCUACUGCCCUGAGAUGAAUGAACUACAGAUUACUCCCACCAAGUUGUACUGAAACACUCUUGUAAUGAUACAAAAUACUACAAAAUACUGCACUGAAAGAAACCGGCCAGGCGCCAUGUAUACCAAUUCAAGCAUGGAGAAAUGGAGGCUGCUCACCAGUGGCUGGGUCUGCAAGAGACACAGCGCUGAUGCUGGCAAGUUUCAUAGUAAUGACUACUACAGACAGCUCUGGGUAGAUUUGGUAGUGGAUAACAGGUCACCACAUAAUUCCUUCUCCAGUAGGGAUCGUCUAGAUGAAAUAAAUAAGGAGUGAAGCUGCAUAUGGUUGCAAGAACAAUUUUCGGGUACCAUGGAUCAUGGAUCUCUCAUUUUUUUUUCUGGAUAUUCAAAACAAAACAAAACAAAACAAACAAAAAAAACACCAACCAAACAACAACAAAAAACAAAAACAAAAACAAAACAAAACAAAAAAAACGGAGGCUCUGAAAGCACCCCAGCCCCCCUGCUUCUCUCCUUAACUUCCUUAUGUCCUCAGCUGCAGUUAGGACUCUCCGGGGAGAACUUGUAUUCACUUAAUGCAGACUUGACUCAGCAAAAUGCGAUGAGGCACUGGCCAGACACUCGGUGAGUCCAUUUCAGAGAGCUAUGAGGGAACAGCCCUCUCUUCCUCCUCCUUAGGUGCCCCUGCAGAUUCCUGCUCCAGAAUUGGCUGGAUAACGGUACCAUUGGGUGAGUAGGGAACGCUCCCAGAGAUGGGUGAGCUGCUUGCACGCAGAGCAGCUGACAGCCGGCUGCACGUCUGCUGCUCAGUAAAGACACGGUUGCAGCCUGACAGAGCAGCACUGAAAAUUUCAUAAUGGAAAAUGAUAACAAGGAGAUUGCCUUCAGCCUUGGGGAAUGUGAUCUAAUCCCAAAUGGGGGAGGCAUGCAGACAAACCUGACGCUCUUCUGCACAAACCUUAACCCUUAAGAUAUUAAGAUAUUUGGAUACAUAUCUUAACAGAUCUUAAGCUUUGUGGGUUAUUCUUAUUAUAUUUUAUGUUUAAUUAUUUUAUUAUUAAAUUGCUACUCAUUAUUUUGUGCAUAACGCUAAGCCAGUAAUUUCUUAAACUCUUUGGCUCUCUUCAGACAGGAAGGUUACGCUCACUUAGCAUCUAACACAGGAGUUUAGCUUUCAGCUGAUAGUACUUUGCAUCUUACUUCAAUAUGUUCUGAUUAAAUAUGGCAAGUUGAAAUAUUCCUUCUAAUACUGGAAUUAUGUUUUUCUUAUAAAAGGAUCCCAGGCGGCCAAGUAACAGAACAGAGGUCUCUGGCAGUGAAAUGAAUACUAAUUCAAAAACUGAAGAGUACUGUUUCUAAAUGGGAAAGAUUCAGAAAUGAUUGCAGUGUAUCGUCCUGAAACAUAUAUUCUCAGGUUCCAGAUCAAUGACCAGAUAUUAAUUAAUCCCUAUGUUUUCUUUUGAGCUCAUAUCAGCUGGGAGGAAGUGCUUCAUAUGGUCUGGCCACACUGUCCAAGGAACACUGGAUCCCCUCAGAGAAGCAUGACCCUUCCCAUGACUUCUUGGAAAUGGUGGAUCUCUGUAAUGAAACUGCACAUUUACCUUUUAUAUACCAUCUAGGAAAACACAGCAAAAGCCAUAUGGCUCAAGAAGACAUCUCCUAUAAUUAGAUAUCACUUAGCACGGUACCUAAUUGUACGGAUGCAGAGCCUACAUCUGUUGGAACUGGGCGUAGCAUGAAAUGUCAAAUGCAGAUUUAGAUGCGAGUAGGACUGCAAAGGGGAAAUUAAGCAUCUUUGACAUUCUUUUAAUUGAGAGAGAAAGAACUUUCUGAUGAGUUUGUGAAGAUUCUGAUGGGGAAGAGCAAAAGGUUUGAAGAAAUCUGAAUCUUUUCCCAGCAGGAAGGUGGAAUAAAAAGUACUUGGAGUACUUGUUACCUAUCUCCCCAUAUCACUCCCCCACAGAGCAGCAGAUUUCUACUCCUAGCUGGUAAAUAUAUUUUUAGUAGAUGCUGUUGGAACAAGAAAGUCCAAAUGAAUCCUCAAAUACUUUUCUUGGUUAAGGAAUUUCCCAUGUUGUGAUCUUGGCUAUUCUCUCAAAACAUUUGGGAAGCCAGCUCUGAUGAAUUAAAAGCAUCUGACCUGAUGUAUGACAUUCUAUAUACUCUAUGUCAAUUAAGUAAAAAAUUAAGUCAAACUUAAGCAUCUACCUGAAGCUGUCUGCCAUGGAAAUUCUUUGUUGUCGUCAUAGUAGGGAUUUGCAUAAGCUGUAUGGCUUGGAUUUAUUUUGAAUAAAGAGGAAAGAAGAACUAAGAGAUCACUGAGUACACAUCUUCUGAAAGCACAGAAUGAGAUGGGGUAAUGUUAUCAUGCUUGGAACUAAAACUCUGACUGAAAAGAGAAUCAUUAAUAUUUCCUUUCUGUGAAGCUGUCAUCCAUGUUGGAUAUAGCCAUAGCAGCUAAGAAUAACACUGGUCAGACAACUGGACAUGGUAACCUCUUCAGUCCCUUUCAAUAAAUAGGAGAAAGACCAAGCCUGCAGCUGCUGGUCCAGCACAGUACUUCUUAGCUGAGCCACUGCUGCUUGCAGUUUGCUGACACACCGGGAUCUGACAGCAGCCACGGCGGCAGCAAUCUCCUGGGGAGGGACGAGGGGGACAGCCACAGGCAUAACCAAGGGAUCAGGAAUCUAGGCCAAGCCCAUGACUUUGUGACCUUCCUAAUCUUUAAAAAUAGCUUUAUGCAUGUGUGUGUAUACAAGCGUAUGCUAUGUAAUGACAGAUAUACGCUACAAAUGUUAUAUGAAAUUGCUCUGCAUGUUAUUUAAUGCCCUGAAAUGCAGGAAAAGCCAGUGCAGGAGAGACAUGCUGAGCUCUUGUGUGGUAGGACAUGGGAAACAGCAGUGAGCAGCAAGAAAAAGAACACACAGCAGAACUUACAUAACGUUCCCUUUUCAGUUCAGCUAUGGGUUUUGCUCUAGCACAUCUGGUGAUCCCUGGCUGGCUGGAUACCGUUUAGUAUUUUCUUCUACUCAUGAAGAAUGGCCUGUUUGUGGAAUCUGGCACUUCAGUCUAGGCUGUCUCAGCAACGGACAGGUCUGUCUGUUGUUUUUAUUCUCCAGUCUUGCCCGAGUCAACAGAGCAGGUAAUCCUUAACUAUACCACAGGAAAGUGACUGUGAAAAGAGCACCAAAAAUGUUUGUUUAGGAUUCAUAUCAGCAUGCAUCCUUUUGAGAAGAAUGGAGACCCGAGCAAUGUUUAUGUCCUUAAAAUGCAUUUUCAGGGGCUGUAAAACUAAUGUAGUGCAUCUCCAUUAAAGAGAAAAUGUGACUGAUUCUGAUUGACUCAGACUGAGACUACAUUGUAGUUAAAAUGCCUCAGAACAAACUCUGAAAAACAGCUGCUUGUAAGUUGUUUUUUUCACACCAGACGAAUUAACAGCAGAUGCAAACAUCUUUCAGACCUUCUGGAAGUAACAUUGAAGCAACCAACAGUGUUAAGACUAAAAAUGUCAGAGACCCUAUAAAUACUCUUUAGGAGCAGAGCAGUCUUUACAGAACAAUCAUCAACAAAAGAUAAAACAGUCUAAGGUUAAACACACAAGUAUAGAAGUCCUGCAUUCAAGGUGAAGAGUGCUAUUGUAGUGAAGAGCUUUUUUAAUUUGCCAAUUAAUCUUGCUUGUAAAAUCAGCAAUUAAUCCUGUGAAAUUCUUGUCAUUAUUCAGAAUAAAUGUCAUGGCACUGAAGUAGCGUUAUUAAUAACAACCAAGCAAAUCUCUUCUAGCCUCCUUGUCAAGAUGCUGCAACGAUGAAUCCAAAAUACAAGCACAUCUGGCUGCAGGAACAAACAUCAAGUUUUUAAUUAUACAUCUUUGUGGGAAAAGGUUUUCACAGUUAACCUCCCUUAAGAAUGUCCAAAUGUUUUAUAAAGACUUGAAUGGAUUACAAAUACUAAAAACAAGAACAUUUUUAAAGGUAUAACAAAGGCUUUUGUUGCUUUUGAUGUUGUGUGAUACAUGAUAGGAGGUAAAAAUCCACAGAUAUAUGGCCUUAUCAGGGAACAGUGUUUAAAGAUACUACGCAAAAAUGACAUUAAUUGCAAGCAAGGCAACAAAUUGCAGGACUUUUCACCCUACAACACUGAGAGUAAAAGUUGGAGCUAACUUAAUUACACAGAGAGAUGAAGUCAUCUCCAUAAACCUCAAUAAUGUCAUGACAGGAAACCCAUGAUGCUGACUGGACUGAUGUCAAGAACAGGAGAACCUACGUGAGAUGCCUGCAAGGUGUACAGCUGUAGGUGCCUCACGCUCUGCUGACAAGAUCCCUACCAGCUCCAAAGGCAGACUGAAGUGACUGUAGAGGGCUUUACAUGUGAGCUGGAGGCAGGCACCACUGGAAAGAGUCUGGCUCCAUUGCCUUUGCAUCCUCCCCUCCAGUAUUUAUGGACAUUGGUAAGAUCUUCCCCCCCACUUCCUUCUGGUCACCCCUGCACCUUUCUAGCUCUUCACCUGACCUAACCUGCAGAGCACCUGCAGAGCUUCAAGCAACGCUGUUCUCUACCUGUCCCCCACCUGGUUUGGGGCAUGCAGAAGAUGUCUUGGAAAUGCUGGGUGUAAUUCAUCUUUCAUCUGGAAGCACAGUAGUCACUGAGUUCCUCUAGGAUAUUAAAACCCAAGGUUCAAUUCUAUCCUCUCGUCAAAGAAAGUUGAAUCAUCAGCACUCAUAAGCUGAUUCACCUCCCUAAAGACAAUGAAUGCUAUUUGUUUUCUAUAUCAUAAUUUAAAAUAGUCAUUGAACUGGAGAAAGAUUGUUUUAUAGCCCAGUGGCCAGAACAUUCAUCCAAGGGGUGAGAGGAGCAGAGGGUAUUUCAUAGUACUUCUCUUGAGAUGACGCAGUCCUUGUCCUUCCUUUACUUACACUGUCAGACCACACCAAUAUGCGAGUACGAGAGUUCUUCAGAACUCCUCAGGCCCAGUGACAAAGGAUAUUGUCUGCCAUGGACAUUUCCAUUCAAACAAUAAGAAGGAUCUGAUAAAGGGAAUUUUCAAACCUCUGGGGUCUCGGAAACCACAGGACCACCUCUGCAUGCUCUGAUCUAAGCUUUUAAUACUUGGGUUACACAAACGUUUUCAAUUUGAUUCCGUAUAGAAUCGUUUAGCUUUUUAUUUCCAUGAGGGAAAAAAACAUAAUUAUUUGGAUGGAUCUGAACUACUUUUUUCCGUGUUUGAUUUUGCAACCAAAAAAUUCCUGAUAUGCAUAACACAUGAGAACUAUAAUUGCUUUCCAAUUCCUUAUCAGCACAUGAUCAUCCUCGCACUGAAACGCUACUCCCAGCUCCAGUACACCAACCUCCAACAUCUUUACACUAGGUUUUACACAGCUCUAAUGUGCCAAGGAUUUGAUCUGUGCAUUUGACUUUCAAUUAUAAUACUGUCCAUUGUAACACCAUAUGUCUGUAUCUACCAGACUGACCCUUAUGUUGCCAAAUAUGAGAAUCAGACCGAUUAAGUUGAGCUCACCAAUGCUUCAGCUCAAACUUCAGAGAGAAACUACUACAGUAUCUGUAUUUCUUCUUAUAGUAUUGAAUGACAAUUUGUUGAGAGCUUGUAAGCAAAAUUAGACUUCUACUUAUAUUCAUCGGCUUGAUUUAGUAGACUUAAUAUAUAUUCUCUUCUGGUUUCCUUUAUGUUAGUUCUGUAUAUUCAGAAUACAUGUUGCAAGCUCCAAAACCAUUACAGCUCCAAAACAACAGCUUCCCUGUAUGUACUGGUAAACAAUCCCUGCAGAAGUACUGCAUGCUUUGCAGUGACAAAAAAACAAAUGACAAACAAGACAUAACAGGUGAAUGGCAUCCAACAUUACCAUGCAUUAAAAAAGUGCAUGUAUAUAAGUAAGAAGAGAAUGCACUAAUAUAAUUAAGAAAUGGUCUUUUAACUUGGGAUUUAAAGAGCAGAGCGGGCCAGCUGUACAGAUAGCAAAAUGAAGAAGAGAACUCCACACGAGAGCCAAAUGAGCAAUCACACAAACCUGCGAGGCAGCAAACUGCACAGGGGGUGGGGAGCAGAACUAAAUCAGAAACAGAGAGUAUGUUGCAGAAGGAAAUAAACGUGAACCAUAUGGAAGAAUAUUCACAACACAUUAGUGUUUAAUUAGAUAAUAUAAUGGAUAAGGACACUUCUGCAGCGUCAUCAUAAACAAAGAUGAAUGGAAAAUGUGCUACUAAUAAAAACGGGUAAUGCAACUGCACUACAACUGUAAUUUGAUCAGUCACAAAUUUAAAAUAAAAAUAAUAUUUUGAUAUGAUAUUUUGCUACUGCAUCUAGUCGUAGAAAAGGAAGCACAGAAGCAGACAUUCUCAUCUGAGGUUCCAGAUACUUCAAAAGCAGAGCAAAAAAGUCCCCACAACUGCUUGCAAUCUGACCCUUGCACCCAGACUGGCAUCCCCAUGUCAUUGUGAACACACACAGGGCGCCUUUUGGAGAAAAAGCAUGGAACGGCCCUUCCAAUUUUCUUCCUCUUCUAAACUAUGACUUAACUGCGUGAAGGCUCUAAAAGAGAGAUAACAUCUGAAGUUAAUAUUAGCAUAGGAAAAUGAACCUGGAGGCCCUAGAUUUGUUUUCGUGCAUUUACUUUAUACGGCAUGCCAAGCUGACAUAGGUAACAGCACAGGUUAAUUGCUUCUGAGAGAAUAACAGAAGGCAACAAAUAGAGCAAAAGGAGAGUGAGAGAAACAAAAUGUUUUUUGAAGGCCUUUGUGAUCUUAACAAACACUUCUGAACAAGGAUGAUUUCUGAAAAGUCAGUCGCAUGCAUGCAAGUCAUCAUAGCUAUAUAUAGCUGCACACACACUGAUGUUUGGUGGCAGCUUACAUCCUUAUGUCUCUCAAGCAGGAUCAGUCUUUUCAAGUUGUGCAUGUCAAGAUGAUUUAUUAGCAGUCAGAGCUUCAAGCUUUAAAUGAAUAAAUAAAAUAUGGUAUAGAAAUAAUAAAAAAUAGAAGAUGAGUACAAAAGAAUGAUUUCCC